GACGUAGGUGGCGAACGUAUCCGGAAUUAUUGGGCGUAAAGGGUGCGUAGAUGGCCUGAUAAGUUAGCAGUGGGAAAUCGAGGCUCAACCUCGUGGAAGCUGGUAAUACUGUCAGGCUCGAGUGCAGGAGAGGUUAACGGAACUCCAUGUGGAGCGGUAAAUGUGUAGAUAUAUGAAGAACACCAAUACGGCGAAGGCAGUUAAC
rnacentral:rRNA from 1 species